rnacentral:ncRNA from 1 species
UUAAAUGCGUUGAUAGGGAAUAAACGCUGCGUUAUGAUGCUAUAGAGAGCUGUUGAAUGCUGGAAAACAGUGCACAGAGCAGAAUGUGAACUCACCCUUGAGCAGUUAGCCUAAAGCUGCAUAGGCCAUUAUGGCAGAUGAAGUGAGUAAGUGGGAACGGGUUUCUCGCCGUUAUACGAGAGGACAUUAGUCAUGAUGUCAAAAAGUGGGUAUUUCUAUACCAAUAAGAGUGGUACCACGGGAGUUUAAUGCUUUCGUCUCUAAC